AGCAGCCGCGGUAACACCGGCGGCCCGAGUGGUGAUCGUGAUUAUUGGGUCUAAAGGGUCCGUAGCCCGGUUUGGUCAGUCCUCCGGGAAAUCUGGAUAGCUCAACUAUUAGGCUUUCGGGGGAUACUGCCAGACUUGGAACCGGGAGAGGUAAGAGGUACUACAGGGGUAGGAGUGAAAUCUUGGUAAUCCCUGUGGGACCACCUGUGGCGAAGGCGUCUUACCAGGACGGGUUCGACGGUGAGGGACGAAAGCUGGGGGCACGAACCGGAUUAGAUACCCGGGUAGUCCCAGCCGUAAACGAUGCUCGCUAGGUGUCAGGCAUGGCGCGACCGUGUCUGGUGCCGCAGGGAAGCCGUGAAGCGAGCCACCUGGGAAGUACGGCCGCAAGGCUGAAACUUAAAGGAAUUGGCGGGGGAGCACAACAACGGGUGGAGGACCCUGCGGUUUAAUUGGACUCAACGCCGGACAACUCACCGGGGGCGACAGCAAUAUGUAGGCUAAGCUGAAGACUUUGCCUGAAUCGCUGAGGAGUGGUGCAUGG
rnacentral:rRNA from 1 species